rnacentral:misc_RNA from 1 species
GAUGAAGAACGCAGCGAAAUGCGAUAAGUAAUGUGAAUUGUAGAAUUCAGUGAAUCAUCGAAUCUUUGAACGCACAUUGCGCCCGCCAGUAUUCUGGCGGGCAUGCCUGUUCGAGCGUCAUUUCAACCAUCAAGCCCCAGGCUUGUGUUGGGGACCUGCGGCUGCCGCAGGCCCUGAAAACCAGUGGCGGGCUCGCUGUCACACCGGGCGUAGUAGAUUUUAUCUCGCUCAGGGCGUGCUGCGGGUUCCGGCCGUUAAAAAGCCUUUUUUACCCAAGGUUGACCUCGGAUCAGGUAGGAAGACCCGCUGAACUUAAGCAUAUCAAUAAGCGGAGGA